CCUACGGGAGGCAGCAGUGGGGGAUAUUGCACAAUGGGGGAAACCCUGAUGCAGCGACGCCGCGUGUGGGAAGACGGUCCUCUGGAUUGUAAACCACUGUCCCCAGGGACGAAGAUGACGGUACCUGGGGAGGAAGCUCCGGCUAACUACGUGCCAGCAGCCGCGGUAAUACGUAGGGAGCGAGCGUUGUCCGGAAUUACUGGGUGUAAGGGGAGCGUAGGCGGGACUGCAAGUUGGGUGUCAAAUCUACCGGCUCAACCGGUAGCCGCACUCAAAACUGCAGUUCUUGAGUGAAGUAGAGGCAGGCGGAAUUCCUAGUGUAGCGGUGAAAUGCGUAGAUAUUAGGAGGAACACCAGUGGCGAAGGCGGCCUGCUGGGCUUUUACUGACGCUGAGGCUCGAAAGUGUGGGGAGCAAACAGGAUUAGAUACCCCGAGUAGUC
rnacentral:rRNA from 1 species